CUGCUGCUGCGGCGACGGCGACCUCCAUGGCCUCCACCGCUACAUCCCUCUGUCUCCACCACGGACCCCACAGGCCACAACCCUAAAUCCCACGGCCACCCCUUCCCCUCGUCAUCCAUGACCUCUGCCUCCGCCUUCCACAGCCGCACAUGAUUGUGCCUCUGAUUAUCGACGCGCUCAUUACCCCAAUGCCUUCAGCUGAAAAUGUUCCCCAAGGGUGUACAGCCGGCGCCUUGAUGUCCAUGCCGUAGGCCGGCGCACCUCCAACUCCAACGGCUCUACGAGGCUCUCCGGGUCCACAUCCGCAGCAGAUGGGCAGUCUUUGGUGCAUUCCCGGGUAUUGCGAUCGACACACAUUCACCCAUCAUAUGUUGAAUGAAAUAUGUAUCCAGAGUCCAGCAAGUUUGUGCUGGACUUACCUGGAUACAUGAAUCAAACGUAUAUUAAGGGUGGAGCUACUUAAUCUGCAAGAUGUCAACCGAAGAAGACGCUCUGCCAACAACCUCACAAAUAGAUCAGUUAUGGAUAUUGCUCCAACUAAUAUGAACCAGACCACACCCCAUCCAACUGGGAGCAACUACAAUAGAAAACAGGCUUGUUGUACAAAAAUAGAAAAAAUCAUUCUGGACCGUCGGAUCCAAAAUGGAUGGCCCAUACUCGAGCGGAGACAUCCCAGGCCACUUAAUGGACAUUUUAUGGAAACCCCCCUGAUCAUGUGUACAUAUGAAACAUGACUUUUACAGUAAUGACCUCAACUUCUCAUAUUCAAUGGUUUCUCCUCAGUAAAUAAGACUAGUUUUCAAUUCCUCUGGA